GGGGGGGGGUCUCACGCAGACUUGCUUGCAUGUUCAACUUCGCGAGGAUAAGGAGAGGACUUAAUUCGGCGUGUCUGUGCGCGUGAAUUGGCGUUUCGGUGUUUUGUGAAACGUCAGACGGGCGUGAUGUGGCAGGAGGGGUUGGCGGACUGACCUGUUCCAUCACAUCCCGAAUAAACCGGCGCGUAGCAGCGUCAUUGUGCGUGAUCGCCACAGACCGGGUAGUAUUACUCAAGUUAGGACGACUUAAUGUAUCACAUUGUAUCGCAUGUUCACAGUUGGACCUUAACAUAGUUAUUAUUACAUUGAAUUCGGAUAUUGUUGCGGGUGGGGAAGCACCGACGGACUCACAAUCUGAGCUGUCUCCCAUAGAUGAGAGGCAGGCUGUAGAUCUUAUCGGAUCGGCUGGGGCAAAGUAAAGUAACCACUACAGGUGCAUCUGCAAAAAAGCAAUGCAUAAAUGACAUUUCCACAAGUUUGCUUUUUUAAUCCAGAGACCGAAGCUCGCGCACAGAAGACCAAUAUCAAACUUGUCUCAUGGCAUCUGGACUUAACCUCCGGAGUCCCAUCAGAAGCCGGGAUCAGGCGAUCACCUUGAACCGCUCGUGCGUCUUGUUUUACAUUUCUCGAUCUGCCGCGUCGGGGCCCCCACGGAGGUCCCCGGGCCGCGGGUUGCGCACCAAUGAGCCCAGGCAGCAGCUGAAGAAUCCCCUUUAUGAUAUGGAGGCAACGCGCGUUGACGCGUCGCGCUGCGCUUCCGACCACAGUCGUCGGAAUGCGUCUCCGGCGCGCACACACACACAGACACAAACACACACACGCGCACACACUCUCUCACGCAACACUCUCAUGGGGACAUGCGGCCAGCAAGACGCAGCCACGGACUCCCAAUGGACCCUCAAGCCUCAAACAACAGACGGACACUCCGGGAGAGGCGGAGGAAGCGUCCAUCUGUGGCAGCCAAAAUGGUCGCCGCAACAGACGGCCAUCUUGGUUUCGGCGAAGGGACUGCAGACUCGGAAAGGCAAACAAGGAGAUGAGGAGGCCAAUGGCCGUAAAGCUUCAUAACCUAUUAACAUGUUGCCGUUUAGCGAGUAUUCGUUAGUUAAACCACAAAGUCUUUCUUCCAAGCGCAGAUUGUGUGUAUUUAACAUUGCUAGCAGCGAGCCAUCGUACGGGACGACGCUCUUUCAACCGCUUGGUAAUACGUCACCUGCACGUUUUUUUUGCGUGACAAAGAUUUGGCGGAGCAACCUCAUCCUCCUCCGUCCGUUUCCAUCGGCGACGGCUUCAGAUGCAAUCCCGUGACGUCGCAGGGAGGGUCAUUUGUGGAGCGCCGUGCAUCCUCGGGUCGGCCCCGCGGGUGCUCAGUAGUCAGUGUAGAUCCUGUGCGGCUGGCAGCAGCUACAUCUGGCUACUGGGUCUCUGCCGGCAGGCGUGUCAUUCAGAGCACACAAAAGGCUUUCGAACACUAGUAUUUUCAGACCUAUUUUUCUUUAUUCUUUAUUUAACAGCGGUUUCCUUUCGUUGUUCACAGUUUGAUAACAUGCGUGACACUUUUAAAAGCAGAGUGUGUUCUGGACCUGGCAUUCAGUGUAGGAUUCUGUGUGUGUCAAUCUACAGCUACAUUGUCUGCUGGGUUUCAGGCCCUCACUCACACACACACACACACACCAAUGCCUUUAUUCGGAAAGCACUUCUAUGGUUUGUCUCACCCGUGUAAAUGACGGCAAAGCAUAAUGAAAAGAUGGUUUAAGGAUGGUAUGUUUAAGGAACUGAAAAGCAUGGAUCAUUUGACAACGUUGUGUUUAUUGACUCAUCAUAAAACAUUCUUCAAACAAUAAAACAAUUUUUAAAUGUC